rnacentral:misc_RNA from 1 species
UCAGCAGUCAAUGGUUGCAGG